GCCAGUGUGGAGUAGUGGUUGGAGUGUUAGAUUAUGACUCUGGAGACCAGGGUUCAAUUCCCCACUCAGCCA